ACGUAUGGUGCAAGCGUUAUCCGGAUUUACUGGGUGUAAAGGGAGCGCAGGCGGUGCGGCAAGUCUGAUGUGAAAGCCCGGGGCUCAACCCCGGUACUGCAUUGGAAACUGUCGUACUAGAGUGUCGGAGGGGUAAGUGGAAUUCCUAGUGUAGCGGUGAAAUGCGUAGAUAUUAGGAGGAACACCAGCGGCGAAGGCGGCUUACUGGACGAUAACUGACGCUGAGGCUCGAAAGCGUGGGGAGCAAACAG
rnacentral:rRNA from 1 species